UACGUAGGGUGCAAGCGUUGUCCGGAAUUAUUGGGCGUAAAGAGCUCGUAGGCGGUCUGUCGCGUUGGCUGUGAAAACUCGGGGCUCAACCCCGAGCCUGCAGUCGAUACGGGCAGACUAGAGUGCGGUAGGGGAGACUGGAAUUCCUGGUGUAGCGGUGAAAUGCGCAGAUAUCAGGAGGAACACCGGUGGCGAAGGCGGGUCUCUGGGCCGUAACUGACGCUGAGGAGCGAAAGCGUGGGGAGCAAACAGG
rnacentral:rRNA from 1 species